GAGGAGUGAUGACCACAUACUUUGGUCCGUGUUCCUGAUCUGCCUCAUGGCAAUGAAAUUGCUCAAAGUUCUGACCUC
rfam:Phytophthora infestans T30-4 supercont1.21 genomic scaffold, whole genome shotgun sequence.